rnacentral:rRNA from 1 species
AAACCUGCCUCAUAGACUGGGACAACUAUUGGAAACGAUAGCUAAUACCGGAUAACAGCAUUAACUGCAUGGUUGAUGUUUGAAAGUUGGUUGUGCUAACACUAUGAGAUGGCUUUGCGGUGCAUUAGCUAGUUGGUGGGGUAAAGGCCCACCAAGGCGACGAUGCAUAGCCGACCUGAGAGGGUGAUCGGCCACACUGGGACUGAGACACGGCCCAG